rnacentral:rRNA from 1 species
ACGAACGCUGGCGGCGUGCCUAAUACAUGCAAGUCGAACGGCUUUUCUAUGGAAGCUUGCUUCCACUGAGAAGAUAGUGGCGAACGGGUGAGUAACACGUGGGUAACCUGCCCAUAAGAGGGGGAGUAACAUCCGGAAACGGGUGCUAAUACCGCAUAGUUUUCUUGAUCGCAUGAUUGAGAAAGGAAAGACGGCCUUUGUGCUGUCGCUUAUGGAUGGACCCGCGGCGUAUUAGUUAGUUGGUGAGGUAAUGGCUCACCAAGACGAUGAUACGUAGCCGACCUGAGAGGGUGAUCGGCCACAUUGGGACUGAGACACGGCCCAAACUCCUACGGGAGGCAGCAGUAGGGAAUCUUCCGCAAUGGACGAAAGUCUGACGGAGCAACGCCGCGUGAGUGAAAGAAGGUUUUCGGAUCGUAAAACUCUGUUGUCAGAGAAGAACAAGUUGGAGAGUAACUGCUCCAGCCUUGACGGUAUCUGACCAGAAAGCCACGGCUAACUACGUGCCAGCCGCCGC